GAUGAACGCUGGCGGCGUGCCUAAUACAUGCAAGUCGAGCGAACGGACGAGAAGCUUGCUUCUCUGAUGUUAGCGGCGGACGGGUGAGUAACACGUGGAUAACCUACCUAUAAGACUGGGAUAACUUCGGGAAACCGGAGCUAAUACCGGAUAAUAUUUUGAACCGCAUGGUUCAAAAGUGAAAGACGGUCUUGCUGUCACUUAUAGAUGGAUCCGCGCUGCAUUAGCUAGUUGGUAAGGUAACGGCUUACCAAGGCAACGAUGCAUAGCCGACCUGUGAGGGUGAUCGGCCACACUGGAACUGAGCCACGGUCCAGACUCCUACGGGACGCAGCAGUAGGGAAUCUUCCGCAAUGGGCGAAAGCCUGACGGAGCAACGCCGCGUGAGUGAUGAAGGUCUUCGGAUCGUAAAACUCUGUUAUUAGGGAAGAACAUAUGUGUAAGUAACUGUGCACAUCUUGACGGUACCUAAUCAGAAAGCCACGGCUAACUACGUG
rnacentral:rRNA from 1 species